rnacentral:lncRNA from 1 species
CUUUGUGCCCGUGGGUUUAGCAGCUCUCAUAAUAAUUGUUGUGGCGGUCAACAUGUGGAUGAGAGCUAAAGAGAAGAAAACACAGACGGAGGAAAUCGCUGUGCGUUAUGAUGUAGAUGAUGAUACAGUGAACUAUGAAAACAUCAGAUCUCCUGAUGGAGUUUGACCAACACUUCUGCCUCCAUCAGACUCCACUGAUCAACUCGUCACCUUCUACUGGAGUAGUUCAAGACUGGAAAUAACAAAAAGAAUCAUUAAGGCUUAUUUUAUUUUAGUCUGAUGUAUUUUCCUGCAUCAAUUGUAAAAACCCUUUUCUCAUCUGCAGCCAGUUGAGAACAGCAGCUGGAUUUGAACUUCAUUUAACUCUUGUUAACUUCCUGAAAGUCUUCCAGCUGCAGAUUUCAGAGCUGAUUUUAAGAUGUACUGCUUGUUAUUGAAGCUCCAGCAGCUUGAGCUUGAUGUCUAUGUGCAGAAUAACUGAUUUUAAUCCGCUUUCGGAGUCAGUAA